rnacentral:rRNA from 1 species
AUUGAACGCUGGCGGCAGGCCUAACACAUGCAAGUCGAGCGGAUGAAUGGAGCUUGCUCGUGGAUUCAGCGGCGGACGGGUGAGUAAUGCCUAGGAAUCUGCCAUGUCGUCGGGGAUAACGUCCUGAAACGGGCGCUAAUACCGCAUACGUACAGAUGGAGAAAGUGGGGGGGCUUAAGAUCGCACGCUUUCGGAUGAGCCUACGUCGGAUUAGCUAGUUGGUGGGGUAAAGGCGUACCAAGGCGACGAUCCGUAACUGGUCUGAGAGGAUGAUCAGUCACACUGGGACUGAGACACGGCCCAGACUCCUACGGGAGGCAGCAGUGGGGAAUAUUGGACAAUGGGCGAAAGGCUGAUCCAGCAAUGCCGCGUGAGUGAUGAAGGCCUUAGGGUUGUAAAGCUCUUUUACCCGGGAUGAUAAUGACAGUACCGGGAGAAUAAGCUCCGGCUAACUCCGUG